UCGAACGCCCGUAGCAAUACGGGAGUGGCAGACGGGUGAGUAACGCGUGGGAAUCUCCCCAAAGGUACGGAACAACUCAGGGAAACUUGAGCUAAUACCGUAUGUGCCCGAGAGGGCAAAGAUUUAUCGCCUUUGGAUGAGCCCGCGUUGGAUUAGCUAGUUGGUGGGGUAAUGGCCUACCAAGGCGACGAUCCAUAGCUGAUCUGAGAGGAUGAUCAGCCACACUGGGACUGAGACACGGCCCAGACUCCUACGGGAGGCAGCAGUGGGGAAUCUUGGACAAUGGGCGAAAGCCUGAUCCAGCCAUGCCGCGUGAGUGAAGAAGGCCUUAGGGUUGUAAAGCUCUUUUGCCCGGGAAGAUAAUGACGGUACCGGGAGAAUAAGCCCCGGCAAACUUCGUGCCAGCAGCCGCGGUAAUACGAAGGGGGCUAGCGUUG
rnacentral:rRNA from 1 species